GCGCUAUUCACUCGAGGAAUGGCGGAUUUCUUUUUGGUAGUGUGCAUGUCGGUAGUCUAGUUCUUGGCUGAAGAAAAGUGUGCACAUUUAGUUCGUAUCUUGCAUUAAUCUGUACCCGCGCUGUUGGGACAGUGUAUUCAAAAUGGAAAACAGAAUCAAACGAGUGCGAAUUGUGGGGAAAGGACACGCUUCAUGUUUUGAACGUCUUUUGCUAGAGUGGUAUCGGCGAGAGAGUUUCGUCGAUGUAAUUCUGACGUGCGUUGGUAGUCCUGAAAAUCAUUUGAGUGAUGAAGCCGUGGCGCGCCAUAUACCCGCAAACCGAAGCGUAUUGGCAGCAGCUAGUCCGGUAUUUGCCGCCAUGUUUUGUGAAAACCCACUCGUGGAGGAAGAUGUUCGAAUCUCCGUUGUUGGCUACUCAUACACCUCUAUUCGUUCUAUCAUUGAAUACAUUUACACGGGAUCGCUCGAAUUUUCCGAUUGCGAUAAGGAGCAAAUCAAAGAAAUACUCAGAGAUUUCCUUAUCCCGAUUCCAAACACGAAGAAAAUCUCGAAAAAUCAAGAAAAAGAAACUGUAACGGACGAUGAAACUUGCGAAUCCAUCGCCAAAAGUAGAAGCCAGAUUAUAACAGAAACUGGGGCGGAGAACAGACGCAACACCACAUACGAUACCAACACCGGGAUAAGAAACGAAGAAGCAGAAGAACAUGGAAUUCACAUAGUUUCCUCCGUCUCUUUGUCAUCCAUGGGGGAUGUCCAAAUAAUACCGCCAACAAAAACCUAUCGUGCGAAUAAAAUGAGGCCUCUGGCUCCAAAAGCGUUUACACGUGCCGUGAAGAAUCCUGAACUAGCUUCAGCUUAUUCCCGGAAGAACGCUCUGCGACCACGAAAUAAGGUAAACCCCCACGACGCUGAGGAAUCACCGCCAGUCUUAGGAAACAUAACAACAAGAGUAUGCGAUUUCCAAAAACUACCAACCGCAUUAGAAUCGACAAUACAGAAACCGUUGAAUGCACAUAUCAACCCCCGAAACUGCAACCUGCCUUUGUCGGAACCAGUUAUUAACCAAGUUGAGGCAACGACUACUCCUCAACUCAACGUAAUUCGUAUAUUUAAUCGAAUGGUCGAAGCCCCGCAUUCUUCGAAGAAACAAACGACUAUGGAGUCCCUUCCUAUUCCGUUUUGCCAAUUUGGAUUAUCCAAGAGUUUCGACGAAAAGACGGUCAUCCAAUCUGAAAGUGUUUUGGUACCACCAGUGAAAGUAGAUAUUCCGAUCAUGAAAAACGGUCGGUGCAUAUUCACUGUGACGGAGGAAAUGGCCAGAGCCUCUUAUUACCGCAAUGUCAUCUCUGCUCUGUACGAUGUCCCGGGAACGUAUACUUUGUAUCGAGAAAGACCAACUCCAAACAUCGAUACAAUACCAUUCUGUGAACUUGCAAAAUUCCAAGUUUCCAAAACGCACAUCUUUGUUCCAUCCUAUCUUGAGAAAAAACCUUUGUUUACCUACCAAGACAGGCCUAGUACAAGGGCCCAACGUCAGUCGCAAACCAGCAUUUCUCUAUCGGGAAUCAGAAUCGAGUCGGUCCAUCAAGUCAACGGUAAAGUGCACAUCUGUACUCUGGGAGAACCACUUGUCAAUCAGGCAUCAGAAACUCUCUUUGAGGACUACCCACUUUCUUACCUGAACCCGGACCAAGUAGUUUCUCGCCUUUCAUUGGAACACAAUUAUUCAUUUGGCGAAACACCGUUGCCUACCGAUAGCGAGUGCUCCAAUCGUAGUGAAUUGGCUAAAGAUCUAGAAGACUACAAAAGUGCCAUACAGCUUGCAAUCAAUCAGCAACGUCGCAAAAAUCGGUUGAGACAUCGUAUUCAAUCUUAUUCAAAAGAGGUCUCCACCCUAAAACGCAGAGCCGUGGAGUUGCUUGAUAUUUGUCACUUAAUGCAAGAUGAAGCUCAUGAAAUGGAUCCCGAUUAUCAACGGUCUAACAAGAAAACUACAAGCGAACGGUCCAAAAUCGGGCAAAGCAAUGAUGCGGAUGAGAAAGUCCCUUGCACAGUUUGCAAUAAACUAAUCAAGAAAACUUGGCUCAAGCAACACAUGGUGAUUCUGCACACGGAAGAAAGAAACCACUUGUGCGAUGAAUGCGGCCGAACAUUUGUCAUUAAAGCUCAGUUGCGAGCCCAUCAGCUACGACAGCAUAAGGCUGUACCGGGAAAUCACCUGUGUGAGCAGUGCGGUAGGUCAUUCCGAUUCGCCCGUUAUUUAAAUCGCCACAUGUCGUUACAUUCGAGCGAGAAGCCCCACGUUUGUCGGUAUUGUGACAAAGCAUUUCGCCUGAAACCCGUGCUGAUUAAGCACAUUCGCACACACACUGGGGAGAAACCAUAUAAAUGCACGGUUUGCGGAAGAUGUUUCAGACAGAGGACAACUUAUGCAACCCACCUCAAGAUGCACGAAAAGAGACAAAUGGCUGGUGUGAGAGAAGGGAAUACUGGACUGGGGCAACUUCCUCGCCUCAAAUGUGAUUUUUGCUCUAUGACUUUCAAGCUGGAUCUCUUCUUAAUGCUUCACCGAGCUAAACAUACAGGAGAGACACCGGCGUUGCCUUGUCCUACCUGCAAGGAUACGUUUCCUUCUAUUAAGGAGCUCACUCUUCAUCGUAAAAGCCAACACCCAGAAUCGGUAUAUGCGUGCCAAAUCUGUCCCAAAGUCUUUACAAACAAGGCUAAUUUUGAUUUCCACGUGCACAAACAUUCAAAUCCUGAUGCUGUCAAGAAAAAAUAUCCAAAAGUGGAUCCCGUCGAUACAGGUCCUUGCACCUGUGACUUUUGCGACAAAGUUUUCAAAUCGCGUUCCGCGCGUGACUACCACAUUAAGGGAAUCCAUUUAGGUGACAAAUCGCUGAAAUGUCAGUACUGCGAUAAAACCUUUUCGCAUAAACCAUCGUUGGAGCAGCACAUGCGGACGCACACGGGCGAGAGGCCUUUCAAAUGUGAUCAAUGCCCAAGUUCAUUUAAGCAACAACAGCAUCUGACGGCCCACAUGGUUGUUCACACGGGUGAGCGCCCAUUCAGCUGUGACCAUUGCGAUAAGACGUUUCCUCACAAGACUUCUCUGUAUGCCCACUUACGUAUACACACGGGCAAAAGGCUGAUGUGUACGCAUUGCCGGAAAGUUCUGCCUAGCCUAGCGCAAUUGAUGCGCCACGAAGAAAAUUGCUCGUUGAAUACCAAUGAAUCUUCCGUUGAAUAACGGAUACUUUCAUCAUUGCUAUGCGCCAAACAGUUUGCACCCCUUUGACGGAUAUUCCUUUUAUCGCGUGUAUACAUAGACUGAGACAACAGGUAACAAAUAAUUGAGAGGGUAGGGAGAUAAGUAACGAGUACUGGCAGUUAAUGAAUAAUCUCACAUGUGUGAGGACUUGUGACGAUUAACCAGAACGGUCAGAUCGCGUGGAUCAAUGAUGAAAGAAUCCGGGUUAGUGUUAGUCUCAGUGCUGGGUAGUUGAUGUUGACGAGUAGCCAAUCGUCGAUGGAUAACUAUACCAGACUGUUGUUGCUUGACAGUUUGAAGUAGAUUUUCUUGCUGUUUCUGCCAAUCCAGCACGUUACUCAAGAGCCUUAUAUACUUAAUCGCAAGCCGGAGAAUCUCAUUCUUGCUUAACUUUUUCUCCGGUGGGUAGGUUGGAACGAGUUUACGCAACUCAGAGAACGCACCGCUGACGUUUUGUUGGCGCCAGCGUUCGCGACUGUUACUGAAAGUCUUUCGUGGAAAGACGAUUAGCGGACGACCGGACUCUUCCGAUGUUGUUUUCUGUGUUACACGCCCUCCCAGAGGCGAAGUUGAGUGAGAUGGCUGUCCUCGAGCCUUAGUUGGGUUUAAUCGUUUGCGGAACUGCAAAGUGGUAGCACUAGAUAUGGUUGAUGGACUCUCCGCUUUGAUACUCUCAGACUCCUCGUGACUAGAACGGCUUGAGGAUGAUGUUGGCUCUUUCUUCACUUUAACGGUUUUCUUUGCCUGUUUGCGAAUCACUUGUGUUUAGAAAGCAUUUAUUUUUGAUCAAAAUAUCUUUUCACUUACUUGAACAUCAUCCUCGUGACGUGACACGUUGUCGUUAUCGUCUGAAUCGGGUGAAAAUUCUGAAUUGUCUUCGAACUCUGACGUGUCGACAUCGCUCGAGUUGGACGCCAUACUUCGGAUGCUGCUAUUGCUCCGGCUUCGAUUAUCUCGCUGCAUUUAGGCUGGAUAUCGUUAUUGUUGUUGUUCACGGAUGUUGCAGUGUGAAUGUUUUCUUCGACUUUACUUCAGAUGGGAACAAUUUCAACUAAAACGAUUAUAGCCGUAGGAAAACACAAGGAAAAAAAGGGGCGGUAUUUUAUUGUCAGCGCUAUCAGAUCGUAGGACAAAGUUCACCGUAGGCAAACUAGAUUUCCCAAUCAAUAACUCUAAUAUUUACCCAAAAUGUUAUUGUCUGCUACCGUCUCGUAAACUAGCUGAAUUUGUCACCAAUUCCAUUCGGACGGAUGGCUUUUUAUAUGGGCCAAAGGUCCGAAAAAGCGGGUCAUGCGCGCGAGCAUCAACCCUGUUUGGUGAACGGGAGCGUCCAAUCCAGUGACGAGGAAGAGUUGUAAGUUGACAGGGACCCCGCCCUCCUAUAUUUUCUAUUACGAAUCUUUUGACGUUCUUCGGUAAACCCUCCCCUCAGUCGCUCCGAUUCCUUUCCUGUGAAAAAGUUAAAAAAAAACUCUUAUUCUACUUCUACACAAUACAUAUCAUAUUCCCCUUUUGAGAGGGGUUGGUUGACUCUCUAUUCAAAAGCAGAAAAAAAGGCCCCCAAAAAAUGAUCGUAUUAACUCGAUAAAUGUGCGUGGCAUAAAUCAGCGACUUUAAAACCUCGAAACUCGUGGGAGAAAAGCGGUUCAUCAGCUUCAGCUUUUCAAAAGUAUCGCACGCACAUCGAAUAGGCCUUUAAAGUCUGGACAUACAAAGAUUAGCAGACAUUUGAUACGAUAAGAAGCCACCAAGAACUUCUUUUCCAGGGCUACCGACGAAGUAGAGUUGAAUUGUUUCUGACAUCUGUCAAUCGCCACUUGGCUGUCAUGUCGCCUCCAUUUUUUUUUCCAAGCUUUUCAGUUUGUUUUGCUUUUCAUGGUAAUGGCCAUACGAGUUUUGCGGCCAACCGGUAGAUAAAUUAGCAUCGAUAUCAGUCAAUAGGCAGUACAGAAUUAAACAUUGGGUCACGUGGCACCAAACAGCGAUAGUUUUUUGUUACUGUGUGUGAAUGGAUUUUCGAUACUGUGCAUUUCGAGUGUGUAUUUACUGUACAUAUAGACCUAUUAUAAUACUCAUUGAAACUGAAAAGAGAUCAACGUGAAUCGCCUCCCUCCAUUGGCACGCGACCGACCACCGAUCCAAUCAAUUUAUUCAACCUCAUGACCCUUCUUUUCUCUUUUCAUGAUAAUUCAAUGUGGCUACAAAAUUGCCAUUCAUUCUCCCCCAUAUGAAAUCCUAAUAGAUUUUGUUUUGUUAUUGUAGUUAGAGGAGAAGAAAAAAACGAGAAGAGGGUGAGGGGAUUUUUAUGUGACGAGUUCCCAAAGCUGUCAAAAUACGUUAUUAAGCUGCCUUUCCCUUUCGCUUCUAAAAGCACAGUCUUAUCUCGAGUUAGCAGACGCUGCUCUGUGUGUACUAAAUAACAUCGUCGGCGACGCACGCGGCGUCGUUGACAAAGCAGCAAUAUUCUGUAUUUUGAAAAGAAUUGGAUCACCAACUAUAAUACAGUUGCCUUCUUCUACGUUUGGAUUCAAUUUGUCCCCCAAAAUCCUGAAUCGAUUCCGUGUUUUAUUGAUCACAGCGCUUCAAUAUUAUGACAUGACAUUCUAGAAAAAUUAGCAGACAUUACUUUUGUGACAUCAGUGGAGCAACUAUCCCUUUAAUGUAGGCGAGAUGGGGAUCAAGAAGAAAUAAAGAAAAAAUUCAUCGGAAUGCACAAAAUACGAGGAAGAGAGGGACGAGAAGAACAAACGUCAGAUAAAGAGGCAUCCGUGGCUCACAGACAUCACGAGCCACAAAGGUACGGUCCCAAUCUUGUGAUACACUGCUAUUUGGAACAGGAAUCGAGACGACCACUUUCUCUGAUGAGUAAAAACUGAGGGGGAAGUUGCAGCUGGUGGAAUUGUGGCAGACGUCAGUAGCCUCCGUUAAGUUGAAAACAGUUUUGAGCAGGUCAAAUUUCACCGACAACUUAUUCCGUACCUUAAAUAAUCACAUAAACGUUGGAUAUGAUUAGCAAAUGGGAUGCAAAUAAAUAUUUUAUGUUGUUUUUCUAAAAUGAAGUGGUUUUUGCAAACUAUGCUAAUUUUAUCCAAAAGAAAAUGGUUGAAGAGAAGGAAUGGUUUGAAAAUUUUCCAAAUGGCAACGUCUAUUCGUAUUUUCGAACCCUUCCCCAUGAAUCAUACCGAAUCAGUUUUAAUUCCCAUUCUUGCAACAUCAGCGAAGGUAGGCUGCUGCUACAGUCCCAGUUUUUUAUUUUCAAUAUUAAUAAAUCUUAUUCAUCUAACUUUCAAAUAGACAAAUCAAAGUGUACACAUUCAGCAUUUCAACGUUGGAGAAAUUGCGCUUCAAGAUUCUCCCCAAUUAACCAUCACAACUUAACGAGAACUACGGAUUCUUGCGAUGUAUGAACAUCCUGUCCCGGUUUGCGUCACGACCACUUUCUAGCUACUCAUAAUGUAAUAAAAAUAAUAAAAAACCUCAACUCGA
rnacentral:misc_RNA from 1 species